GGUUUGGAGAGCUUCUGGGUUUUGAAUACGUCUACUUGCUGGGAGCGUGGCACACCUCAAACUCCGUGGAGACAGAAGCUCUGCUCUCUGUGCACCCUAACAGAGCUUGCCUGUGUACCUCUUCGUGUGGCUGGCGCCCCAUUGGUAUCUGCAGAGGACUGGAGAAUUGUUUGCUGGGGGAAUCCACAAGCUUGCCCUCAGAAGUGUCCUGCUGUUGUGGGUAAAAACAGAAUUCCUCAAGUCGGAUUUUCUAGGGAGCAGGAAGACACUGGGCUCAGAAUGGCACUUGGGAGAACAAGUAUGAAGUCAUCAUGCCUCCUGUUUACAGGACACUGAGCUUUGGUUUUUCCAGUGGUCAUGUAUGGAUGUGAGAGUUGCACUAUAAAGAAAGCUGAGUGCCAGAGAAUUGAUGCUUUUGAAUUGUGGUGUUGGAGAGGACUCUUGAGAAUCCCUUGGACUGCAAGGAGAUCCAACCAGUCCAUUCUGAAGGAGAUCAGCCCUGGGAUUUCUUUGGAAGAACUGAUGCUAAAGCUGAAACUCCAGUACUUUGGCCACCUGAUGCGAAGAACUACCUCCUUGGAAAAGACCCUGAUACUGGGAAAGAUUGAAGCAGGGAGGAGAAGGGGAUGACAGAGGAUUAGAUGUUUGGGUGGCAUCACCAACUCAAUGGACAUGAGCUUGAGUAAGCUUCGGGAGUUGGUGUGGACAGGGAAGCCUGGUGUGAUGCAGUCCAUGGGGUCUCAAAGAGUUGAACACGACUGAGCGACUGAACUGAAUUGAACUGAGCUCCCAAGCAGUAGGGGUGGAUCCAAGGAAGUCUGCUGGGGACAGGUCCCCUUCUCCUCUGGGGUCAGUGUGCCUGGGAACCAAGCUGAAAAGUGGAUCCUGUUUCCUCAGGACAACCCUCUGGGUCAGGGUUUGUCAUCAAGGCAAGGCUGCCAGAGGAACAGAGAUCUCAAAACCACUCACCC
ensembl:lncRNA